rnacentral:rRNA from 1 species
AUUGAACGCUGGCGGCAGGCCUAACACAUGCAAGUCGAGCGGAUGAAGGGAGCUUGCUCCUGGAUUCAGCGGCGGACGGGUGAGUAAUGCCUAGGAAUCUGCCUGGUAGUGGGGGAUAACGUCCGGAAACGGGCGCUAAUACCGCAUACGUCCUGAGGUAGAAAGUGGGGGAUCUUCGGACCUCACGCUAUCAGAUGAGCCUAGGUCGGAUUAGCUAGUUGGUGGGGUAAAGGCCUACCAAGGCGACGAUCCGUAACUGGUCUGAGAGGAUGAUCAGUCACACUGGAACUGAGACACGGUCCAGACUCCUACGGGAGGCAGCAGUGGGGAAUAUUGGACAAUGGGCGAAAGCCUGAUCCAGCCAGGCCGCGUGGGUGAAGAAGGUCUUCGGAUUGUAAAGCACUUUAAGUUGGGAGGAAGGGCAGUAAGUUAAUACCUUGCUGUUUUGACGUUACCAACAGAAUAAGCACCGGCUAACUUCGU